GAGUUUGAUCCUGGCUCAGAACGAACGCUGGCGGCANNUUUAACACAUGCAAGUCGAGCGCACUCUUAUGAGUGAGCGGCAGACGGGUGAGUAACGCGUGGGAAUCUACCCUUUUCUACGGAAUAACACAGAGAAAUUUGUGCUAAUACCGUAUACGUCCUACUGGAGAAAGAUUUAUCGGAGAAGGAUGAGCCCGCGUUGGAUUAGCUAGUUGGUGAGGUAAAGGCUCACCAAGGCAACGAUCCAUAGCUGGUCUGAGAGGAUGAUCAGCCACACUGGGACUGAGACACGGCCCAGACUCCUACGGGAGGCAGCAGUGGGGAAUAUUGGUCAAUGGGGGCAACCCUGAUCCAGCCAUGCCGCGUGAGUGAUGAAGGCCCUAGGGUUGUAAAGCUCUUUCACCGGUGAAGAUAAUGACGGUAACCCGGAGAAGAAGCCCCGGCUAACUUCGUGCCAGCAGCCGCGGUAAUACGAAGGGGGCUAGCGUUGUUCGGAUUUACUGGGCGUAAAGCGCAUGUAGGCGGAUAUUUAAGUCAAGAGGUGAAAUCCCAGGGCUCAACCCUGGAACUGCCUUUGAUACUGGAUGUCUUGANUGUGGAANAAGUGAGUGGAAUUCCGAGUNGUNAAGUAAAAAUUCGUAGAUAUUCNGAGGACCCCAGU
rnacentral:rRNA from 1 species